GGCUGAAGUCGGACGCUUAACCGACUUCAGCCAGGUCACGAUCUCGCGGUCUGUGAGUUCGAGCCCCGCGUCAGGCUCUGGGCUGAUGGCUCGGAGCCUGGAGCCUGUUUCAGAUUCUGUGUCUCCCUCUCUCUCUGCCCCUCCCCCGUUCAUGCUCUGUCUCUCUCUGUCCCAAAAAUAAAUAAAAAACGUUGAAAAAAAAAUUAAAAAAAAAAAAAGAGCU